UACACUCCUGCGGGAGGCAGCAGUGGGGAAUAUUGGACAAUGGGCGCAAGCCUGAUCCAGCCAUGCCGCGUGAGUGAUGAAGGCCCUAGGGUUGUAAAGCUCUUUCACCGGUGAAGAUAAUGACGGUAACCGGAGAAGAAGCCCCGGCUAACUUCGUGCCAGCAGCCGCGGUAAUACGAAGGGGGCUAGCGUUGUUCGGAUUUACUGGGCGUAAAGCGCACGUAGGCGGACUAUUAAGUCAGGGGUGAAAUCCCGGGGCUCAACCCCGGAACUGCCUUUGAUACUGGUAGUCUUGAGUUCGAGAGAGGUGAGUGGAAUUCCGAGUGUAGAGGUGAAAUUCGUAGAUAUUCGGAGGAACACCAGUGGCGAAGGCGGCUCACUGGCUCGAUACUGACGCUGAGGUGCGAAAGCGUGGGGAGCAAACAGGAUUAGAAACCCCAGUAGUCCCAUG
rnacentral:rRNA from 1 species